rnacentral:rRNA from 1 species
AUUGGGCCCGAGUUUGAUCAUGGCUCAGAUUGAACGCUGGCGGCAUGCUUUACACAUGCAAGUCGAACGGGGUGGGGGGCAACUCCCAUUCAGUGGCGAACGGGUGAGUAAUGCAUCGGAACGUGUCCCGUAAUGGGGGAUAACGCCGCGAAAGCGGCGCUAAUACCGCAUACGCUCUGAGGAGGAAAGUGGGGGACUUCGCAAGGAGCCUCACGUUAGGGGAGCGGCCGAUGUCCGAUUAGCUAGUUGGUGGGGUAAUGGCUUACCAAGGCUUCGAUCGGUAGCUGGUCUGAGAGGAUGAUCAGCCACACUGGAACUGAGACACGGUCCAGACUCCUACGGGAGGCAGCAGUGGGGAAUAUUGGGCAAUGGGGGAAACCCUGACGCAGCAACGCCGCGUGGAGGAUGAAGUCCCUUGGGACGUAAACUCCUUUCGACCCGGACGAUAAUGACGGUACGGGUGGAAGAAGCCCCGGCUAACUUCGUGCCAGCAGCCGCGGUG